GAGGCACUAAAGUUCGUUAAAUUGCAUUUAAAAAGUUUAUCAUUUGUUAUAUUUGUAAAAGUUGGCAAACAUAUAUUCGAUUGUGUUGUUAGAACUUCUGACGGUCUACUGAUAGCCGUAAUGUAUUCUGUAGAUGAUUAUUCACACGAUCUUCACUCCUGUCUAUAAUCUUGGCAAGACCUAAUGCCGUUACAAAAGGCUAAAAAUAUUUCCUAGUUUCCUUUAACGAUGAUACUCUUUGAUGACGGCCUCGAUGUUGACUUUUUCUGAGUUAUUACAGCAUCGAUGACAAAGUUCUCUGAAUCACAUCUGCAUCUAAUGGUGAGUCGCAUGCAUCUUUGUUCCUCUGUUUAAACUCGAACGCGUAUCCGAUACAGUGGUUAUAGUCGAACUGCAUGCAGUAAGGUCGACGGUCGGUACUACAGGAAAUAAUACUGUUAUAGUACAGACAAGUCUCGAAACUUGAAAUCGCGAAUUAAAACUUAUUACAUAAUAUUAUAUUGUUACUAAUAGUUAUUAUUAAUAGUAUAAUGAUAUAAUAUUAAUAAAUUGUUGAUAAUAAUAACUUCUUACGUUUUUCACAAUACAUGGUUUGAAUCAUAGACGAAGUAUAGAACUGUUGUACCUGGUCAGUGGUUUGAAUUAAACCAUUUACAAUCUUCUCCUACACUGAAUCGGUAACAUUGGGAAUGAUGUGUUGGGAAACUGAAAUGUAAGGAGGAUUUAAGGCGGAAUUAAAAUGAUAAAGGGAUUGGAUGAUGUAUCUAUUACGUAGCUCGUUCCUUAGAUCAACGCUUAAAGAUAAGAUAAAGCGCGUACAUUUUGCUCACUUUUAAGAACAAGCUUCUUGUACAUUUCAAUUUAAUUACAAGCCUCGUUAAGAUGUUUCGCCGUUAAAUUUAAAGAUAGAAAGGAUCACAAUCUUAGCAAAGAGGUUAAACGAUUUUAUCUUCUCACAUACCAGGUGACGCCACAUUUCCAUUUUAACUUUACAUUAGAUUUAAUCUACGGUAUACAGGCAUGAAACAAAAAAGAAUCGUUAAGAUAUUGAAACUUAGGGAUUCCCCGCACUAAGUUUCUCAAAAUUUUAAUAUAACUAAAACUCUAUCGAUAGCAAGCAUUAGACUCGAUCCAAUUCAGAAAAAGACAAAAUGCAAUUCAGCGACAGGCAGAGGAGGAGAGAAAGAUACACCAAAUGAGAUGUAUUAUUCAAGUAAUUUCGAAGCUGUCAUGCACACAAAUACAGAGAUUUCUCGCGGUAUCAGCCGGAUUGUGCAGCAGUUUGUUCAGUCGUAUGCCACCGCAGCGCAGUAGGUAGCAGGAUGUUAUAGCACGUUCGAAAGAGAAAUGAAGCGAAAAGGGGGUGGCGGAAAAGCGACGGAGAAAACUCGGCAGGAGGAAAAAAAACGUAGUACAUAUCAAGUGAGUAGCGAGCUAUGGAUUAAUGCGAGUUUCCACUUGGGGAAGCCCAACCCCGCGUUUACACAAACAUCAGUUCCUGACCCCAUUCCAUGUUUCGUUUAAAUUUCUCUCAUCGCGGAACGUUGUAUCGAGGAUCGAAGAAUAUGCCAGCUGUAACAACGCAUCAUCGGCUUCCUGUCAGACGAAUUUUUCAUCCUCGUUUUACGCGAUGCGAUACCGAUGUUCGUCCCGUCUCGUUUCCUCCGGAACUUAAAUGAUAUACUAGGAAGAACCGAUAUUGGCGUAU